UGCUUUCGUUAUAUCUUUUUGCCCCUUUUUAGUAAAUAGUUUAAUCUCCUGUGAUAGUUUUAAGCCCCGACUUUGACAGUACAGCUUAUCCUGGAUAAUAACUUAGUAACCACAACAUCUUAUGCCAUCUGUAUAAUAUCAAAUACAUUUUUAUAUCAGCAUUAAAAAAAAAACAUUACUUACAAAAAUCCAAGAUAUUAACUGUAUCACCGCCAGCUGAACUUCCCAGGACCUGAGCACAUUGUUGCCAUGAUUACCCUUGUGUUUUUUUGGCUUCAUAGCUGAUAUAUAAGUACAGCCAUGAAACAGAGCUACAAGUAAUCAAGUUUAAUGGCCACUGUAAAGUAAAAUGCUAAACAUUGUAGUUGCUGACAUUUUUCAUAGGGGGGAAAAAAAACUUGGGUUAAGUCUGCCUGACCAACAUUCACAUAAAAUGCCAGACCUCUGUGACAGAUGGCUUAGGAGAAGAUGCCAUGCAAUGGGGGAUGCAGUAGUUUUAUAGUGCAAAAACCAUAAAUAGUGCAGAUUUUCUGUCACUGACAAAAUACCAGCAACUCAGAAGGCAGGAGACAACAGCAAACAAAUUCCAUAAAACAGUCAAAGUCUUCUCAAAUUAAAUCACAGAUCCAAACAUGUCAGGAAACACAUCUGACAAUUGGGAAUCUGGCCUUAUUUAGCAGCACCAAAGAGGCUUGGUUGGAAGACAAUACACGUUUGUUGAUGUGAAUAUGAAGAUACUGGCGAGGGCUAUCUUCUGAUGUGCAAGGGAGUUGGGUUGGAGUGAAGCUCUGGCCUGCAGGCCAAAUGUGGCCUACUUGGCCAACUCAGUCAGGACCCCUGAAAGUGCCCCAGGUUACCCCUCAUGUACUCCUGCUUUAAAGACACCUGAGCCAAUGCCCAUCACCACAACUUGAAGCAGAGGUUCUGGGGGAUGGUGCUGGUUGAACAGAUCGGCAGCUAUACUGAGAAAUCUCAAGUUGCUUCACCAAGUUUGUUCUGCAGAGACAAUGAAGGGAACAAUGAGAAAGAACAAUACUGCAGCAAUUGGACAACCAGAAAGACUGUUUAAAAGAGAUUUGCCACAUAUGAGGAGCCGUGAACAACCUGCAUUUCUUCUCUCCAAAGAUCUAGGAUCUUUAUAGUGCAUUUUGGCAGCAUAAGCAAAAUACUCCCCACAUGAUUCUGUGGUUCAUCUAGAUCUCACUGUUCAUCUGUGGUUCAUCUAGAUCUCACUGCUUAUGGAAGUCCAACCAUGUCUCUUUCCAGAGCUAACUCAGGCAUCUCUUUCCUGCUGGGGCUUCCUCCCCCCUGCAAUUUUUGAGGAUCCCUUGAUCGUUGCAGGUUUGGGCAACUCUUGAGCAAGAUGUUCUCAAUAGGAAGGUCUGCCCUUGUCCUCACUAGCGGCACUGCUGCCCAUUCAUUUGACCUCUCCCUCGGUGUCCAGUGAUGCUGAAUCUUAAUACCUGCCCUGUUAGGCUGCCCUUGUUCAUCCACUCAUACUUCAGCCCUGGGCUGUGAACUCCUCACCUGCCCUUCACUACCUUCACCAGCAGUAAAAUUGGCUGUGUAAAUAUUAUAUUCAUAAUAUAAUGCUCAUUUCCGUAUCUAUUUCUGUUGGGGUGAAGUCAACCCAAGCCAAAUGUAUCAAUGAUUUUGGUGUGUUGGAUAAAAUCAUGAUGAAUCAUAACCUGAACAUAUGUUGAGGAAGUCAGAAGAAGUACAUUUGGGGUUGAAGGGAAUCAAAUCAGAUUGCUUUCACCACAUAAAAUUGGUUUUAUCUGUGUUCCUUUGGAAUUUGCUUUAAUUCCUGUUGUUCUUAGUUAUUAAUUAAGGUGAAGCAACACAACUAUUUAACUUAUAUACAAAUAUACAAUUCAAAGCAAAAGUAAAAAAUAAUAUCAGAGAGUGGGCAGCACACAUUUAUAUAGAUCUUCCCUGUCUCUUCGGGCAGAAGUGAUGAACUGCCUGCCUGUUAGCCAAGUCUCCCUACCCUCACCCAAGCAAUUUCAUCUGCCCUCCAAGAACUCAGAAAUGCAACAACGGCAUCUGCAGCAAGUCCCUCUGCUGCACUGGGCUGGAAGGAGAGAGUUAAAUGAUGCCCUCUCUGCUCAUCAAAUCAAUGAUCUGUAGAGCAGAGGGCAAGAUUUCCCCCUCAAUCUUGGUACUGGACAAGACAGAGUUUCCUCUCUGACCAGCACUGUAAUGGGGGGAACUAACCUUUGCUCUUCUUCUGAUCUGCACAGAUUGCUGGGAAGUGCGAGGGAACCCCUCUCUGAAUGUGUGUGUGCUCUGAUUGAGUAUGUAAUAUGUGCAUGCUCACUUUUUUAGACAUACCCACACCCAUGGCACAUGUCCCCCAGAGAGCAAUCACCCCCAAAAGGCUAGCCACCCUAUCUCUAAGCAUUGGUUUCAAUAGCUUAUGAUCAUUGAGUGAACCUAUUUCUAUUGCAUUUAUCCAUAAACACUAAUAUUUUCAAUACUGCACUAAAGUAAAUUGGCACAAUCCAGUCAAAGUUAAGCAUGUUUAACACUCAAAUAUGCCACUGGGACCAUUAAAUAUGUGCUCAACUCUCUACCACUGAAAACACUGAAUCUAGAAGUGCUUCAUUUUGGCUGGAUUGUGUCCUAAAAUUGUACACACUAUACAGAUACCACUUGUAGGGUAUAAGGGAUGGUUUUAUGGGGGUAGGAUUGCAGAAGCCAAGUACCUAUGCUGCCAUUUUGAUAUAACGUGAGUGACAAAUAUUAAUUAAAAUGUUCCCUUCUUGAACAGGUUAGUUCAGGGAUGGGGCAACAGUAGACCUGCAGAUGUUAUUGGGUUGUAGUUCCCAUCAACAUUGAGCAUUGGCAUGCCAGUUGUGGAUAGAGGGAAGUGGAUUUCAACAACAUCUGGAGUUGACUGUUUCUGCAUCCCUGGCCUAGUUUAUCACCAGUGGUAACAGACUAGGAUUUACCUUCUGUGAGUGUUGCG